rnacentral:rRNA from 1 species
GAUGAACGCUGGCGGCGUGCCUAACACAUGCAAGUCGAGCGAAGCGGGGACGGGUGAGUAACACGUGGAUAACCUCCUAUAAGACUGGGAUACUUCCGGGAAACCGGAGCUAAACCGGAUACUUAUCGAUGGAUCCUCGCUGCAUUAGCUAGUUGGUGAGGUAACGGCUUACCAAGGCAACGAUGCAUAGCCGACCUGAGAGGGUGAUCAGCCAAACGGGAACUGAGACACGGUCCAGACUCCUACGGGAGGCAGCAGUAGGGAAUCUUCCGCAAUGGGCGAAAGCCUGACGGAGCAACGCCGCGUGAGUGAUGAAGGUCUUCGGAUCGUAAAGCUCUUUUAUUAGGGAAGCGUUACCUGAACAGGAAGCCACGGCUAACUACGUGCCAGCAGCCGCGGUAAUUC